rnacentral:rRNA from 1 species
UACGGGGGGGGGCAAGCGUUUGUUCGGAUUUACUGGGCGUAAAGGGCGCGUAGGCGGCAAUUCAAGUCAUCUGUGAAAUCUCCGGGCUUAACUCGGAACUGUCAGAUGAUACUGCUUUGCUAGAGUGCAGAAGGGGCAAUCGGAAUUCUUGGUGUAGCGGUGAAAUGCGUAGAUAUCAAGAGGAACACCUGAGGUGAAGACGGGUUGCUGGGCUGACACUGACGCUGAGGCGCGAAGCCAGGGGAGCAAACGGG